rnacentral:misc_RNA from 1 species
GUGAAGCGUGCCCAUUAUAGAAAGGAAAAGGCGAAAAAGGCAAAGAAAGUCAGAACGAGACAAGGGCGAGUGGAUUUCACUGCAGUCUCAGCGCACAUUUCCGGCGUCCCUAUCAGGCCCAUCGCACUCACACACGACGGCACACGACGGUGGCGCAGAAUCCGAACUUUUUCUCUCGUGGGGGUCGACACAAAGAGUGUACCACAGGGACAGCCGUUUCGACUUCGCAGCCCCCCUCCCCGCUUGCCAGCUUCCGCCUUUACGUCUUGUUUUGACGCGGAGCGUCUGGCACAACUCGCCCUGCACAGUUUUGUCUGACACCUUUCCUGUGUGUGUGUUUGUAGGCUGGUGAUCAUUCUCGCGUCUCGUCCUUCAUCAUCGAGGUGCUUCCCUGCUUCGACUGCAUACCGUACUGUAUUGUGGUCGCCUCCACCAGCUUCUGCAAGUGUGCGUUUCCCGAGACGUUGGCGUGUGCUGUGCGACGCAGAGACCCAGGCGAAGAAGACGUUGACAGGCCAGAAUGACCACAAAUGCGGAAACGGACCCCCGCCUGUUGUGGGUGUUCGGGCAGAUUUGCAGAAACCUCAACGGCGUCACGGAUGACUCCCUCAAGGAUCUGUUCCGCGACAGGGACAACGUGGACACCGUGCUUUCCACGUUUGGGACGGUCGACAGUAUGUUGGAGUCGAGCUUCGUCAUUGUGGCACGGGAAAAGGAGCCGAUUGACGGCCACUCCAAGGAUCCGCUUCAGCACGCCGCCGAUGCCCCUCCUCCUCAACAUCACACCGGCGACGGUGGCGGCAGAGGGCAGAGGCUGCGCAUAUCCUCUGGCGCAGUUUACAACGCCAACAUUGCCUGCUCUACUCUGUACGCCCCAGACCACAGCCGCUGCCUCUUCUUCGUGCGUGUGGAUCACCGAGAAAUCACAGCGGAGGACGCAGCGGACUGGGCGACCAACCCGAAGAAUCCGAUACACUUCGCCUUUGAGUUGUCUGGCACGCAGGUGCCGUCCCUCAACUCUUUUUAUGUAUUGCUGAUGGAGGUUUUCGCGCCGAUGCUGCAGGACAUGGGGCAGGCGGCUGGGAAGCGGAGGGCGCUCAUGGCCCUUGCACUAAACGGCGGUGCCAGUGCCACGUCGAUCACCCAAGGUGGGGCAGCAGAGACGGGCAGCGGGGCGGACGCUGCGGACGGCGUCACCGCCACCGGCAGCAAUCGCCAGCUUUACGCCGAUAUUCACAGCUGGAUCAAUCGUCUCGGUACGCAGCUGGAGGGCUUCAUUAACCAGGUAGGCGCGGAGCGCAAGCUGCUCAUUCCUCAGGAUUUAUAUGCAUUGGAGUACAGCGAUGCCCAGCUGCAGGCGGUGCUGAGUAACAAGGACGUGCUGCGUCAGGUGGAUGCGACGGUGUCACAGUGGCAGGCGGAGAUCAGCUACGCCAUGUCCGUGGAGCCGCAAAAGGAGGGCCCUCUGGGCGAGAUCGAGUACUGGCGUGAACGGUACAGCACAAUCAGCGCCCUCUACGAGCAGCUGAACUCUUCGCAGGCAAAGUUCAUUUUGAGGAUCGCCAAGGAGGCGGGCUGCACCUCGGCCACGAUGAUCGACUUGACGCUGCAGCAGUUCUUCCGCAUGCACUCGGAGUCGAAGGACAACGUGAAGUUCCUCGGCACACUCGACCGGCAUUUCCGCACGCUGCACAGCGUGGACCCGAAGCUAGGGUCGCUGCAGCCCAUCAUCGACACGCUCUUCUCCAUGAUGACGGCGCUGCGGAUGGUCUGGAUUAUCUCGCGCUUCUACUCCACGGAAGAGCGCAUGGUCGGUCUUCUGGAGAAGAUUGCGCGGCUGAUUGCGCAGAAGGUAAGCGAGCACAUCGACUUCCGAACAGUGCUGACGUUGCCGUCGGAGGUGGCAAAGGUGAAGGUAACGGAAGGCCAGCAGUGCCUGAUCAAGUGGAAGGCGGCAUACAAGAGUGUGCAGGAGGAGAUUAACAGCUCGGAGCGCGAGCAGCACUGGAGCUUCGACGAGCGUCGUCUCUUUGACGUGACGGACUACAUGUCAGACCGAUGCACGGACCUGCUGGAGGUUAUUGAGACGGUGGAGUACUACACCACCGUCCUGAGCGCGCAGCUGAAGACGGUGCUGACGGACGCCACCGACAUUGAGCGCAUCCUCAAGGAUGUGGAGAAGCUCAAGCGCCCCUUCGGCACGCUCACCUUCGACCCGUUCGAGAGGCGCGCAACGCACAAUUGGCAGGUCGUCUUCUCCGGCUUUCUGACUGCCGUCACGAGCCUCGACCACGAGGUCUCGCUCUUCAUCAACCGUAUCUUCGACGAUGACCUGCGCAGCGCGGAGUCUGCCUUUGAGCUUCUCGUGUCGUUUAAACGCAUCCGCACCCGCCCCGACCGCGGCGGCAACUCCCUCGACAUUUCGGCGCUGCUGCUGGAGAAGACGGACCGUAUUCUCGCUCAGUACUUUACCGAGGUGGAGAACGUGCGACGCAUUUUCCAGGACCAGAAGGAGGCGCCGCCGCUCUCCAAGAACCAACCUCCUGUCGCCGGCGCUAUUCACUGGAGCAUGUCCCUUUUCCAUCGCCUCAAGAAACCGAUUGUGCGCUUCCAGCACGAGGGGAUGCUCAAGUCGUCGGUGGGGCAGCAGGUGAAGGCCAAGUACGUGGAGGCGUCGCGGCAGAUGAAGAAUUAUUCGACGGCGCGCUUCUUGAAAUGGCGAGAAGAGGUGCGGGUGCCAGCCCCGGCGUCUCUCAAGUGGAACAUCCUUCGUGCCGACCCGGAUGGCACGUACAGAGUCAACUUCAACUGGUCCAUCUUCGACAUUAUUCGCGAAACAAAGUACCUUGACCGGCUGGGCUUCGAAGUCCCAAAGGCGCUCCUGCACAUUUCUCUCCAAGAUGAGGCCUACCACGGAUAUGUGGAUGCGCUGAAUGCGAUGCUGGUCAGCUUCAACUACGAGCUGGGCGCGCUGGCGGGGCCUGAGCGCGCUAUCCUCGCCGCCGAGGUGCACGAGCUGAAGCAGGCGCUGGAGCCGGGCCUCCUCGACAUCAACUGGACCAGCCUCUCCAUCCCCGACUUUGUGAGCAACUGCGAAAAGGCCAUCACCAAGUUUCGCAACGUCAGCCGCGAGGUGCGCAAGAGCGCAGACAGCCUUCAGACGCAGGUGGUGAACAAGAUCGCUUCCACGCGCCUGAUCCCCGAGUAUCGCGAGUUUCUGCAGGCGGGCGGGGAGCUGCCGGAGCUGCAAACCCUCGUCGACAUCAUCGAGCGGCGCCGUGUCGAACAGCUGGAGCGCUGCAUGCGGGCCUACCGCACGGCAAAGCCACUGCUCACCAAAGUUGAGGGUCAGCUGCUGGGCACCCACACCGGGAGGUGCGCCAGCUUGGUGCCCUACUACAGCCACUGGGAGCAGCGCAUCUGGCGCGCGCUAACGACGAUGGUGCUCAAGUCACUGGCGAGCUUCGCGAAGCUGGUCGGGUAUACGACGUCCUCGCGCGCUUCGGCCCGGCCGCCUCCGCUCUUCAAGGUGACCGUUCUCCUCACGAGCGAGCCGACGUACACGCCCCAGCAGCAAGAGAUCACGACCGCCUUCCACAAGAUCCAAGCCGGCAUCAUCGAGACCACGAAGCACUUUCAGCGCUGGAUGCGCGGGACGUGCCUGGAGUUCACGCAGGGUGAGAUCAUCCCGCGGCCGGCGGAGGAGGAAUACAUGACGCUCUUUACGUACUACCAGGACAUCUACAACCUGCCCCAAGUCUACAAGCUGCAGGCGCUGGUGAACCGAACUAUCCAGACCCACCUCGGCGCCUUGGCGACGAACAUCAAGAUGCUGCAGCGGUAUCGCUUCGUCUUCCUGGCCGACAAGAAGAUCUCCGUGGAGCAGCAGGCCAAGAGCCAGCUGCAGUGGAUCGACUACGACGCCAAGUUCCAGCUCUACUUCAAUAUGAUCCGCGACUUCGACGAGGAGAGCCACGUGCACGACUUUGGCUUCAUGCGGUGCGACGAGACACCCUUCUACACGGAGCUUGUCGGGCACGUGUAUCAGUGGGUGGCGAUGGAGGGCGCACAGCUGAGUGACACAGUGCGUGUCCGCAUGAUGCAGCGCCACAACACCAUCAGAAAGAUUAACGAGGAUCUGAUGCGGCCGUGCGACAACAUCGCGGACCUGAAGUUUGUGCUGGAGGUGAUGCACAACGCGCGAACGUCGUCGCUCGAGAUGGAGCAGGCGGUGCGUGAGAUUGAGUAUGUAUAUAGUUCGCUCCAGCACUACGGCGUCCCGCUGGACGCCGGGAUGGUGAAAUUAGCGAUGAGCCUGCAGGACAUGUGGUCCUGCACCCUGGCCCGCGUGCAUCAGACCGGCAUUGCGCUGGAGCCUCGCAAGGUGCAGUUCCGCGAGCUGACGGUGCAAGAGGUGAGCAAGUUCCUUGAUGAGGGAAGGAAGGUGCUGCAGGAGUUCCGCUGCACCGGGCCCGGCCGCGACGACAUCGACCUCGCCGCUGGGAACGAGUCGAAGAAGCAGUGGCGGCAACGCCUCAGCGAGCUGCAAAUGAAGCGCGACCAGCUCGUCAAGGCCGAGAAUCUCUUCGACCUCCCGCUGACGACGCACACGUGUCUGCAGCAACUGAACGAGGAGCUGACGAAGGUGGAGACCGUCUACGAUCUUUACGAGCACUGGAUGAGCGACCUGCGCCGCUGGAACCGGAGCAGCUGGAAGGACCUGCUGCUGUCCGACCUAGAGGCGACAACCGAGGAGCGAGCCAAGCAGGCGCGCGUUCUGGGGAAGCAGUACGGCACCAUCAACCCCUUCCCUGCCGUGCAUCAGCUCAUCCUCAACUUCCAAAACUCGCUGCCGCUGCUGGCGAAGCUGAAGAGCCCGGCACUCAAGGCGCGCCACUGGACAGAGCUCAUGCGGGUGACUGACAAGAGCUUCAACUACGAGCAAAUCAACCUCAGCGAGCUCAUCGCGAUGGAGCUGUUCCGCUACAUAGAGGAAGUGGACCAUGUCGUGCUGGCGGCGGCUCGAGAGCAGGGCAUCGAACAGGAGAUCCGCGCCAUCAAGCAAUACUGGGCCGAGAAGGUGUUCACCCCUGUUCCGUACGCGCCGCGCAAAGGCACUGCCCGGUGCGACGUCCUCACGGACACGAGUGAGAUUCAGGAGGCGGUGGACGACAACAUGCUCAAGGUGCAGUCCAUCGCCAACGUCAAGUGGGCGCAGCCGUUCGCGGAGGAGGUCAAGACGUGGGAGCGCCGCUUGUCUGUCAUAAGCGAUGUCAUCACCUUGUGGGUGACGGUGCAGCAGAAGUGGCAGUACCUCGAGUCUAUCUUCAAGGGCAACGACGACAUUGCGCAGCAGCUGCCCAGGGAGGCCUCCAAGUUCAACGACCUUGAUAAGAAGUUUGUGCGUAUCAUGCAAGACACGAGCGCCUCGCCGAACGUGAGCCACUGCUGCAAUGUCACGGGUCGGCUGGAGGAGCUGCGGUACUUGGAGGAGAAGCUGGAGGAGUGCCAGAAGGACCUCUCGAACUACCUGGAGUCAAAGCGCUGUCUUUUUCCGCGGUUCUACUUCAUCUCCGACGAUGAGCUGCUGUCGAUUCUCGCGACGAGCAGCGCCAGGGCGGUGCAGGAUCACAUGCUGAAGAUGUUCGACAACUGCGCCCAGCUCGUAUUCAAAAGCGAGCGCGACGAGACUAUCUGCGGUGUGGAGUCGCAGGAGGGCGAACGACUCGACUUUGGCACGCCGGUGAAGACGGACGGGCGCCCGGUGGAGGAGUGGCUGCAGGCCGUCCUCGACGAGUCGAAGCAGUCCUUACAUGACAUCCUGAAGGCCGGCGUCUUCCACUACCCGAAAAUGCAGCGACUGGAGUGGGUGAAGCAGUAUCACGGAAUGGUGGCGCUCACUGGCGCGAAGGUGUUCUGGACUUACGAGGUGGAGUACGCCUUUGCGCAGGUACACAAGGGGAAGCGCAGCGCCGUGAAAGAGCUCUCCGCGUCCCUGAGCCGCCAGCUUAUCGACCUGGUAGCCGAGAUGGAUAAGGACAUGAACAAGCAGUACCGAAAGAAGAUAAACACGCUCAUCAUUGUCGACGUGCACGGUCGCGACAUUGUCGACCGGUUUGUCCGUGACUCGGUGACGGACGCCCGUGAGUUUGACUGGGAGUCGCAACUCCGCUUCUACUGGGAGAAGGCCGUUGACACCUGCACGAUCGCGCAGUGCACAGGCCGCUUCCGCUACGGGUUCGAGUACAUGGGUCUGAACGGGCGCCUUGUCAUCACGCCGCUGACGGAUCGCUGCUUCAUGACGCUGACGCAGGCGCUGACGUUCUGCCUUGGCGGUGCACCGGGCGGUCCGGCGGGCACGGGCAAAACGGAGUCGGUGAAGGAUCUCGCCAAGGCCAUGGCGAUCCAGUGCGUCGUCUUCAACUGCGGCGAGGGCCUCGAUUACAAGGCGAUGGGUACCAUCUUCUCUGGGCUCUCGCAGACUGGCUCUUGGGGCUGCUUCGAUGAAUUUAACCGAAUUGAGCUGCCGGUGCUGUCGGUCGUGUCGGAGCAGCUGCGCUCCAUCCAGGCAGCGCUGCGAGCGGGUGACAAAGAGUUUUUGUUCGGCGACAGCGUCAUCCGCCUGGUGCCGACGAUCGGCACAUUCAUCACCAUGAACCCCGGCUACGCUGGCCGCGUGGAGCUGCCGGACAAUCUGAAGGCCCUCUUCCGCCCCGUGGUGAUGGUGGUACCGGACAUGGAGCUCAUCGCUGAAAACAUGCUCUUCUCCGAGGGUUUCACGACCGCGCGGGAGCUGGCACGCAAGAUGGUCACCCUCUACUCCCUUGCCAAGGGCCAGCUGUCGAAGCAGCAUCACUACGAUUGGGGUCUGCGCGCGCUGAAGGCGGUGCUCGUGAUGGCGGGGCAGCUGAAGCGUGGCUCCUCCGAUCUCUCCGAGGAGUCCGUGCUCAUGCGCGCGCUGCGUGACAUGAACGCGCCAAAGUUCAUUGCGCAAGACGAGCCCCUGUUCAAGGGCCUCAUGGGAGACUUGUUCCCUGGGCUUGACCCGACGCGCGUCCCGCAGGAGAACCUGGCCAAGGCCAGCACAAGUGUGCUGAAGGAGCGCGGCUUCCAGAUUAACCUGAAGCAGAUCGACAAGGUGGUGCAGCUGUACGAGACGAUGCAAACCCGGCACACGUCGAUGGUUGUCGGCCCGACCGGCGGUGGCAAGUCGACUGUGAUCGACACCUUGUGCAAAGCGCAGACAGAGCUAGGCCUUACGACGAAGUCCUACGUCAUCAACCCCAAGGCGCAGCCGACGUCCGCGCUGUACGGUAUGAUGGACCCGAUGACGCGCAACUGGACGGACGGUAUCUUCUCGAACAUCUUCCGCAGCAUCAACAAACCGGCGGAGGGGACGGAGCGGGAGCGACGGUACGUCAUCUUCGACGGCGACGUGGACGCGAAGUGGGUAGAGGACAUGAACUCUGUCAUGGACGACAACAAGCUGCUCACGCUACCGAACGGCGAGCGUAUUCGUCUGCACCCUCAAUGCUCUCUGUUGUUCGAGGUGGGAGACUUGCAGUACGCCUCGCCGGCGACUGUCUCGCGUGUCGGCAUGGUCUUCUUGGAUCCAAUCAACCUCGGGUGGAAGCCGUUCAUGCACGCGUGGAAGAUGCGCCGCCCGCGCGAUGAGCAGGAGACGCUGGCGGAGCUGGUGGAUCAGUUUGUGCAGCCGCUGGCUAACUUUGUCUUGGACGGCGCGGACGAGGAGGGGACGAUCUCGCCGCCGCCGAAGCUGGUGAUGCCGACGAACGCGCUGAACAUGGUGAAGCAGCUGACGACGAUGCUGUGCACAGUGCUGCCCAAAGACGCCUCGCUGGAGCCGCGCGCGCUGCAAUCCGUCUUCAUUUUCGCCUGCGUGUGGAGCUUUGGUGCUUUCAUCAGCUCUGGGCCGGACCGGCUGCGCUUCGACAGCUUUUUGAAGCGCAUCAGCGGCUGGAACCUGCAGGACGUCGGGGACAACUUCCUCACUCGCUUUGUCGGGUCCGGCUCGCUGCCGGAGGCACGCACCUUGUUCGACUACUACUUCGACCUGCAGGAUAGUCGGUGGAAGCCGUGGAAGGUGCUCGUGAAGCCGUUUCAGCGGAAGCCCGGCCAGCCGUUCAGCUCGCUACUCGUGUCCACGGUGGACACGGAGCGGAACAUGUGGCUGCUGAAUAGGAUUGUGCUUAACCGCAGCCCUGUCCUGUUUGUUGGCGAGAGCGGCACUGCGAAGACGGUGACGAUCCAGUCGUACCUGCAGCAUUUGAAGUGGUCCUCUGUCCUUUCGAGUGAGAGCGGCAGCGAAGUCAGCGGUGACGACGUCCAACUGGAGGCGAUGCUGCUUGAGAUGAACUUUAGCUCCCGCACCACCUCCCUCGAUGCCCAGCGGACCUUGGAGGACAACAUCGAGAAGCGGACGAACACCGUCCUCGGCCCCCCUGCGCGGAAGAGGCUGAUCGUGUUUGUGGACGACAUCAACAUGCCGAAGGUGGACCUCUACGGCACACAGCAGCCGAUCGCCUUUCUGAAGCUGCUCAUCGAGAGCUUUCACUGGUACGACCGCAAAGACCUGCUCUUCAAGAACGUGCGCGACACGCAGUUCGUCGCCGCGAUGGCGCCACCCGGCGGUGGCCGAAACGCGCUCGACCCGCGCUUCGUUUCUCUUUUCACCGUGUUCAACAUUCUGUUCCCUGAGGAGGAGGCGAUCCAGACCAUCUACCAGCAGAUCCUCGCCGACGCGUACAAGACGCUGCCCGUCGACGCCGAGUUCGCGAAGACGAUCACGUCCAUGACACUGAAACUGCACGUCGACCUUGUCGCGACGCUGCCGGCAACGCCGGCCAAGUUCCACUACAUCUUCAACCUGCGCGAUCUGUCCCGCAUCUACGAGGGACUCUGCCGCGCAACGCCGGACAAGUUUCCGUCAACCGGCGCCCUGCUGCGCCUGUGGCGCAACGAGGUGAUGCGUGUGUUUGUCGACCGCAUGGGCGAGGAGGAGGACAAGGCGUUUGUGUGCGGCUUGAUCGAGAAGCACGUCUCGGAGCACUUCCCGCGCGAGACGGCGACGGUCAUGGCAGACCCACUGCUGCUAGGCGACUUCGGCGACUUUGAGCCGGCCAGUGAAUUGGAGCCGCUGCACAUCUACGAAGACUUCGGCCCCUCCUACGCACGCGCGCGGCAGCUUGUCGAGGCGAUCAUGGAUGAGAUCAACACCCCGGUCAAGAAGAUCAACCUCGUCAUGUUCGACAUGGCGCUCGAGCACCUGCUGCGCAUCACGCGUGUCCUGUCCCUUCCGCGCGGCCACUGCCUCCUCGUCGGCGUUGGCGGCAGCGGCAAGCAAUCUCUCACGAAGCUCGCGGCGUCCAUUUGCAAGAUGGGCGUGUUUGAGAUUGUGCUGUCACGCAACUACGGCAAGGACGCCUUCCGCGAGGACCUGAAGAAACUGUAUCACUACGUUGGUGUGGAGAGGCAGAAGAUGAUCUUUCUCUUCAUGGACGGCCACGUCAAGGAGGAAGGCUUCCUGGAGGACAUCAACAACCUGCUAGCCUCCGGCAUGGUUCCUGCUCUCUUCACCGAAGAGGAGAAGGAGCCCCUCUACGCCAGCGUGGCGGAGGACGUCGAGGGGGCGGGGCUGGCCCCGUCGAAGGACAACAAGUGGACAUCCUUCAUCGCGCGCUGCCGCGACAACCUGCACGUCGUACUCUCGAUGAGCCCCUCUGGCGACGCGUUGCGCACACGCUGCCGCAACUUUCCCAGUCUCAUCAACAACACGACGAUCGACUGGUUCCAGAAGUGGCCGGCGCAGGCGCUCGAGGCGGUGGGUCGCAAGGUUCUUGCGGAGGAGACACUACCGGAUGAGCUGCGCACGCCUAUUGUGGAGCACAUGGUGCACGUGCACCUGACAGCGGACAGGUUGUCGAGUAAGUACCAGAACGAGCUGAAGCGGCACAAUUACGUGACCCCGAAGAACUACCUCAGCUUCCUGGCGAACUAUGCCAAGCUGCUCGUGACGCGACGCGAGGACAUUGACGACAUUGUGAAGAAGUUCACGAUCGGCCUGGAGAAGCUGCAGCAUGCGGAGGCCGAGGUGAACGUGUUGAAGGAAGAGCUGGCCGAAAAGGAGGUGACAUUGCGCGAGAAGCAGGAGAUCAAUGCCCAAAUGACGCGCGAGAUCACGGAGCAGCAGCAGAAGAAUCAGGUGCGCAAGGAUGAGUCGCUCAAGAUGGAGGAGGAGCUUAACAUCCAGAAUGCUGAGAUCGAGAAGGAGUCGGCAGAGGCGCAGGUGGUGCUGGAGCAGGCGAUGCCGGCUCUGGAGGAGGCGAUGGAGGCGGUGCGACACAUAGACCCGAAGAGCAUCACAGAGCUGCGCUCUUUCGCGAAGCCGUCUGUCAACGUGGUCGCCGUGGUGCGCAUGGUGUGCAUCGUGAAGGGCGUCCCGGCGACGUGGGAGUCGGGCAAGAUCAUGAUGGGCCAGGCGGACUUCAUUCGCUCCUUGGUCGACAUCGACACCCUUACGCCGACUCUGAACCAGGCGAAGAUGAACGAGAUCAACAAGGUGCUGAAGGAAUUCCCGGUAAACUCGAAUGACCUCAAGAAGGUGAGCAUGGCCGCCUCGGGGCUAAUGAUUUGGGUGGAGGCGAUGAAGCAGUACUGGAAUGUGGCCAAGGAAGUGUUUCCGAAGCAGGAGCUCGUGCGUCAGUUGCAGAAAGCCAAGGAGGUGGCGGAGCGGCAGUUGCAGGCAUGCCGUGACGAGAUCGACCGCCUCACUGAAAGCCUGCACCGGCUGGAGCAGCAACUCGAAGCUGGCAUGGCAGAAGCGCGGCGGCUGCAGGAGGAGAAGUCCGUGAUGGAGCGUCGUCUCAACGCGGCGCACAAGCUGAUUGACGGCUUCAGCUCGGAGCGGGUGCGGUGGACGGAGGAAAAGAAACUUCUAAGCGCGUCGCGCAGCCGCCUGGUCGGCGACUGCCUGGCGGGGGCAGCUUUUCUUUCGUACCUGGGUGCCUUCACGUACCCGUACCGCCAGGAGGCGCUGGACAGUUUCUGGCUACCGGACCUGCGCGCGCGCGGGAUUCCGCUGACAGACGGCUUCGAUGUGCGUCAGCUGCUGACGAACGACGUCGCGGUUUCGCAGUGGGCCAGCGACGGACUGCCGUCCGAUGCGCUGUCGGUGCAGAACGGUAUUCUGACCUCUGCGAGCACGGACUACACCGGCAAGGGCAAGCGCGCCGGCAAGAUUCGCUUUCCGCUCUGCAUCGAUCCGCAGAUGCAGGCGGUUCGAUGGAUUAAGCGCCAGCACCAGGUCAACACCCGCUUCGAAACGGCAACCUUCAGCGACCCCGACUUCCUCAAGAAGCUCGAGUUUGCCAUCCAGUACGGCAACCCCUUCCUCUUUGAAAACGUGGACGAGUUCAUCGACCCCAUCAUCGACUCCGUGCUCGACCCGCAGUUCCGUUACGAGUCCGGCCAGCGACUGAUCCGCAUCGGCGAUAAGGACAUCCCAUGGGAUGACAACUUUAAGCUGUACCUCUGCACGAAGCUGCCGAACCCCAACUAUGCAGCAGAGGUGUUCGGCAAGACGCUGGUCAUCAACUACGGUGUCACCGAAGACGGGUUGGAGGCGCAGCUGCUCAACUACGUCGUCGCGAGCGAGCGCAGCGAUCUGCAGCGACAGAGCGAGGAGCUCGUGCAGACCAUGGCCGAGAGUCGCGCGCAGCUCAAGGAGCUGGAGAACACGCUCAUUCGCGAACUCACCCUCGCGACGGGCAACAUUCUCGAUAACGACGACCUCAUCGCCACCCUGGAAAACACGAAGAGCAGCGCGACGGAGGUGGAGCUCAAGCUGCAUCAGGCGCAGGAGACGGCGCGGACAACCGAGAAGUCGCGUCAGCAGUACCGCCCGGCGGCGAAGCGCGGCGCCGUGCUGUACUUCGUCAUCUCUCAGCUCUCCGCCAUAAACCCGAUGUACGAGUACUCGCUCUCUGCUUUCCUCUACGACGUGUUCGGCUACUCCAUCACAAAAAGCGACGCCUCCUUCGAGAUUCAGGACCGCCUGCGCAACAUUAUUCAGACCCUCACAUACAACCUGUACACGUAUGUCUGCAUGGGCAUCUUCGCCAAGGACAAGGUUAUGCUGUCCUUCCAGAUGGCCGUGCGUCUGCUGGGUCAAGAGGGUCGCAUGGUGCAGAGCGAACUGGAGUUCUUUCUGCGUGGCUGCGUCCUGGCGUCGAAGAGUUUCCCGGCGAACCCGGUACGUUGGCUGACGGAACGGCAGUGGAACGACGUUUGCAAGCUAAGCACCACCGUCGACGUGUUCGAGCACCUCACAAAGGACGUUGCCGACAACGCGGAGGAAUGGCAGGCGUGGACGGCGCUGGAUCGGCCGGAGGAGCUGGACUGCAACCCGCUGCCGUGCGGGUACUCGAACAAAAUUUCGGGGUUUCAGCUGCUCUGUCUGCUGCGCUGCUUCCGGUCAGACCGCGUUUACAGCGCCGUCACGAAUUUUAUCUCCACGUGCGACUUGCUGGGCGAGCAGUUUGUCAUGCCGCCGAUUCUGCGCUACAAGGAGGUACUGGAGAAGAGCUCCUCCAUGUCGCCGAUAGUGUGCAUUGUAUCGCCCGGUGCGAACCCAACGGAUGAGAUUGUGAAGCUAGCCGCGAAGGAGGUGGGUCUGGACAAGAUGCGCUCCAUCUCGCUCGGCCAGGGCCAGGGCGAGGAGGCCAUGCGGCUUGUCGAGGUCGGCGCGACGCGCGGGCACUGGGUGCUGCUGCAGAACUGCCACCUGCUGACGGCGUGGAUGAAAGAUAUGGAGAAGAUGCUGGAGAAGGUGGACUGCUCCCAAGUGCAUGAACAGUUCCGGCUCUGGCUCACCACAGAGCCGAUUGAGCAGUUCCCGAUGGGCAUCCUGCAGCGCUCCCUCAAGGUGGUGAAUGAGCCACCGAACGGACUCAAGAUGAACAUGAAGAACACUCUCUCCAAGGUCACGGAGGAUCAGCUGGACGUCUGCCCGCACUGGGCAUUUCGGCCUCUCGUCUUCACCUUGGCCUUCUUCCACGCAGUGGUACAGGAGCGGCGCAAGUACGGCAAGAUCGGCUGGAACGUCAUCUACGACUUCAACGAAACAGACUUCACGGUUUCCAUGCGACUGCUGGACACGUACCUCACCAAGGCGUACCUGAACAAGGACCCACUUCCGUGGGACACGCUGCGCUACCUCGUCGGCGAGGCCAUGUACGGCGGGCGCGUCACGGACAGCAUGGACCGCCGCAUUGUGCAGACGUACCUCGCCGAGUACUUUGGAGACUAUCUUUUCGACACCUUCCAGCCCUUCCACUUCUUUGUCGAGUCUGGCGUAGCAGACUACUGCCUGCCAUCCGGGAGCACCGACCCAGAGAAGCGGGUCACGCUAAAUCAGAUGGUGGCGCAGGUGGACACGUUCCCGAACGCGAACGCGCCGGACGUCUUUGGACUCCACCCGAACGCUGAGACGGGCUACCUGCGGCACUCGACAGAGACGUUGUGGUCUAGCUUGAUUGAGCUGAUGCCGCGCGUCAGCACCGUCACGGUCGGCGGGGAGACGCGCGAGGCGAAGCUGACCAAGUUCACGGAGGAGAUCCUCGCCCAGAUCCCAGAGCCGUUUGACAUGAAGGCGGUGCUGCUCAAGGAGACGACGCGGGCGACGGCGAAUGGCCACGACGCGGUGCAGCCGACGCAGGUGGUGCUGCUGCAAGAGAUGGAGCGCUGGAACAGGCUUGUGAACGUCAUGAGGACGUCUCUGAAGGAGCUGAAAAAGGCGUUGUCAGGUAUUAUUGGCAUGAGCAGCGAGCUGGAUGAGCUGGAGUCUGCUCUCGACAACGGUCAGCUGCCGCAGUCAUGGCGCCGCUACGCACCGGCGACGCGAAAGAACCUCGGGCGAUGGAUCGCGCAUUUCCAGCGUCGCUACGAGCAGUACCUAUCGUGGAACAUGAAUGGCGAGCCCAAGUGCGUGUGGCUUUCGGGUCUCAUGGUGCCCGACUCAUACCUCUCCGCGCUUGUGCAGGUGACGUGCCGCAAGUAUCGCUGGCCGCUCGACCGGUCCACGAUAAUGACGACGGUUACUGCCUUCGCAAGACCGGAGGAUGUCACAGCGGCACCAGAGGACGGCGCGUACGUUAGCGGACUCUACCUAGAGGGUGCCCGCUGGGACCCUCAAAGGCGUGCGCUGGCCCCGCAGUUGAAGAAGCAGCUCAUUACCGAGCUGCCGGUCAUGCAGAUUGUGCCAACCGAGUCCUCGCGCGUCAAGACGGUUGGCACGUUUAAGACGCCGGUCUACGUCAACGGCGAUCGUCGCAAUGCUGCUGGUGUGGGUCUUGUGUUCAUGGCGGACCUCCCGUCCGAUGUGCACCCAUCCUUGUGGGUGCUUGAGAGCGUGGCGCUGUUGCUGGACUCGGACGAUUGAUUGGGCGGAGACACAAGCCGCCUUUCUCGCGCUUACCUUUUAGGCGCGUCUCCACCGCAGACUCCGGUGCAGGUGCUGCGGGGUUUCACCAUUCCUCCCUUUGCAAGUCGUUAUGUGUGGUAGCUGCGUUGUUGACUCGCCGGGCCCCAUGGGUGCAUUUCGUUGUCCCUUCCCUUUUCGUGCGUUGUCAGCUGUUUUCGCGCGUGUGGCCUGUGCGUUUGUGUGUAGUUUCUUCCAGGGGCAACUGACAGCCACGACCUCCUCCACCUCUUCUUUUCGUUUUUGUUGUGUAGUGCGUGCGCGGGUGACGGUCGCCCACACCCUCACCCACCCCUUCUCCCUCGUUUUGUGGCGAUGGUGAUGCUUGCGCUUUUAUUUGUGCCGCAUGCAAGCACACUUCGGAAAAGAAGACGGGGUCCUGGGCAGGGGCCACGCGGUGAAGCACAAUCGGGCUGCUCCGCCUCCUGUCACCCGAUCGCCCACAUCCACGCGUCGGCCUCUGCACCAGAUGGGCUUUUAUCUAGUUUCUCUGUGUUGUCUUUCUCAGCGAAUGUACAUACCCCCCCCCCCUUCCUCCUCUCGGCCUUCUCCUUUUACUCUCCCUUGAGACGGAUUGCACCUGCCUGGAGAGUUUUUUCCCGAACCGCAUGGACGGCGCAUCUGUCGGGUGGUGGUAUACGGCACUCCUGCAGCGGUGCUGGUCCUUCGUUGUGGAUCUGUGUGUGUGUGUGUGUGUAUCUGUUGAGAGGGACGAGGGGGGUGGGGGACUUUUCUUUCUACUCUGUCUCUCUACUAUAAGAGCGAUGUACCUUGAACAACGAUGCCGCACAUGAAAUCGAGCGAAGCACAUCAAAAAAGAAAGGAAUUGCAUGCGCUCGAAAGCCGAGCGACCACUUGCCCGUCCGGUCUUCAUCGAAAGGGAAGACGAGAGAGAGAGG